rnacentral:rRNA from 1 species
AAGUAUAACCUGCCAGACAGGGAAAUUGCGUACGGCUCAUUACACCAGCCUUAAUUUACUUGACCUUGACAACCUACUUGGAUAACUGUGGUAAUUCUAGAGCUAAUACAUGCACCAAAGCUCCGAUCCUCGCGGAGAGGAGCGCAUUUGUUCGCCACAAAACCAAGCGCCCAUCUGGGCGUCCAGUGCUGAACCAGAACAACUCAGCUGAUCGCACGGUCUUGUACCGGCGACGUGUCUUUCAAGUGUCUGCCUUAUCAACUUUCGAUGGUAGUGUACCUGACUACCAUGGUUGUGACGGGUAACGGAGGAUAAGGGUUCGACUCCGGAGAAGGGGCCUGAGAAAUGGCCACUACGUCUAAGGAUGGCAGCAGGCGCGCAAAUUACCCACUCUCAACGCGAGGAGGUAGUGACGAGAAAUAACGAGACCGUUCUCAUACGAGGCCGGUUAUUGGAAUGGGUACAAUUUAAA